UUAAACCAGCAUUUGGCCCUGGGUCAGAGGUCAGGGACUGGGGACCAUUCGACACAAGCACAGACACGGGGAGCUGGGCCUGGGCUCCCCCAGGCCCCUCCACCUCCCCGCCCAGACAACGAACAACAGCGAGGGCAGGAUGGAGAAGCAGAAUGGGCAUGUUCCGGGGAGCGGGAGGCAGGAGGGCAGCUGCCGCAGCAUGGUGCAGAUCCCAAGCUGGGCGGCAGAGAGCAGACACAGACAGACAGCAUUGGGCGGGCGUGCGGCUCAGGACUGGGUCUGCACCUCCCAAGUGGGCCCUGGGCAGGGGUGAUGCUGGGCACGAAGGCGCCUUCUGCCAGCCCGAAGUGUGGAGCAGCUGGGGCCUUGGCACAAGCCCUGCAGCGCGGGUGGAAUUUGGCUGUCAGAGGAGCAGGGCUGGGUGGGCACCUGGCCAGCCAGGGGCAUCUUCACACCCUGCCAGACCCUUUUCCUAGACAUCCCACUUGGUCGGCACCAGCCCUCAAAAACACAGGGUUGUGAGGGAGGCAGGCACC
rnacentral:lncRNA from 1 species